CCGCCGUGCCACGCUCAGCGCUGCAGGCCAAACGCUGCAGGUCCUUGUCCUUCAAACGUGGAGAAGACCUCCAGGCCAUGGGCUGUGCUCUCACUCAGGCCUGACUUCUCAGUAAGACAGGAGACGGCACUGACCCAGAGGAGAGCUGCCCGGCACAGGGAUGCGGCCGGGGACGGGGUGGCUCUCAGGGGCCGGCUCCAGCUUCCUCAGAGAACAUGUGGAUCAGGAGGGGGACGCGCCACAAGCUGCCCUUGGCCACCUCUGCUUCAGAUGACAGCAUGAGAAGUCACGGAGUCUGUGGAGAGGGCUGGGCUGGAGCUUAGGGCCUCACUCAGGAGCCAACCGCUGACACCAAGCUGGACCAAAGACCCACCAUGGGGCGGAAGCCACCCCUCCGCUCCUCCCCGGCUGGCAGGCCCAUCGCCGAAGUCCACCUACCUGCUGCCGGCGGAGAACCAGACACGGCGAGGGUCAGAGGCUCCGGGCUGGGGCGGUGCAACUUCCAGUCAGACUCCCAUGGGGAGCUUCCAGGCCUUCGACCUCAGACUGGGGCUGUGUCCUGGAUCCUUCCUGGUUCCACGGCUUCCAGCUUCUCCGGCAGAGCAGCUCCUGGAUCCUCCAGGGCAAGACGACCACUGUGGAGUCCGCCUCUGAUCCUGUGAGCCACCGAGUAAAUCCCC
rnacentral:lncRNA from 1 species